CAAACACAUGAUGUUACUUCUCACAGUCCUCACUGGAUGAAAAGGGGCUUUAUUCUCCAAAAUUCAGUAAGAUUGUCUGAGUCACAACAGAAUCAGCUUCCCUUCUCUGGAAUAGAUACCAAUGUCCGCACAGACAGAAAUCUCUACUUCUCCUAGACAUUAAAGUAACAGAGUUCUUGUGUGUUUGUCUUAAUGUAUUGCUUCUCAAACCUUUCCAUGAGCAAUGAAGAUAAAGUCUAUUCCUGUACCUGGGGGUGCAACCAGAAGCAAGUCCAUCAUUACUGAUAUGUCUACCACAGAGCUGCUGGGAAUACAAAAAGAACUAAGGCAAUUCCGAUAGCUUAAGUUAUUCCCAGAGGAGACAUACAGAAACAGACUUUUACAAUAUAAGGAAGCAAGUAUGAUGACAGACACCAUCACUGGGUACUGCUACUACAUGAGUUCACAGGAAGGAUGUCAGGAUUAUCCAAGCAAGCUGUCAGGGUCAGGCAGGCCUUGUAGAGAAGACACUCAAGGUGCAGUGGCUCAUGCCUGUAAUCUCAACACUUCAGGAGGCUAAGGUGAGGAGGACAGCUUGAGGCCAAGAGUUUGAGACCAGCCUGAGCAACACAGCAAGAUUCCAUCUUGAAAAUAAAAAACAUUUUUUUUUAAGAAAUCUACGUUUGAGGUCCCUUUUACAAUAAUCUUGAUUCUAUUUUGAUGCGAGUUUCUGAUGUGCCAUAACUACAAAC
rnacentral:lncRNA from 10 species